UACAAAAUAGUACUUGUUAAAAAGUAGUAAUAUACAUCAUUUUGGAUUAGCAGGGAUCCAGAUUCUGUAUUGCCUUACAUCCAUAAAGUCUUCUGCCCACUCGGUCCAUCCAGGGCUGUCAUGUUUUUGGAACAAAGUGGGCUGGUUUCAAGGGCUCACUGUGAUGCCAGUGGGUGGAUUUAUGGAUUUUUGCAACCCUUUUUUCCACUGAAUAUGGGUGGAUGUGUGUUCGGUAUUUGUCCACCAGAGGACUCAUUUCAUGACAAGUCACAGCAAAGUUGUGCUGCAUCCCAUCGUCUCCACUCCACUCCUUCUCAUGCAAGAUCGAGGCCAUUUGCCAUUAUUGCCACCAGGUGCAGCAGAGAGGGACUUUCUGAUGAUGCCCUCUGUGACAGUAUCUCCUUGAAAUCUGUAUUGAUGGCACAGAGAACUGAUCUCAGGGAAUCCAUAACAGGAAAAGUUGGAAGAGUGAUUCAGUUCUCCAUUCACCUCCUCGAUGUUGGCACUUACGAAAUUUCCCUUGUUUAAAAAAGCCUUUACAAAAUUCCGGGGAAGGGACUGAGCUUUCCAGCACAGAUGUCAAUCCCCUGCCUUAGUCCUGCUGAAGGAUUUUUGUGAAAGGCUUAGAGUCCAGUUCUUAGCUUCAUUGGGAAUUGGGAAGGGCUCCAAAUAAACUCCAGCCUGUGCAGGCUCCUUCAAUACAA